CUAACCUGUCCCUGUCCAAAAGAGGAUAUAAUGCAGAGGUGUAGGAUACCUAUAAUGACAAUAUAAUGUCGAAAGGUUUCUGUCAUCACAGACUGUUUACAGUGCGAAAAGAGAUAGCGUAGUGUCAAAGUGCAAUGUAUAUUGCCAACACAUUACGUCCUUAUUCAACAGCAGAAACCCAACAGGUCGGACAAAAAAUGUUUCGCAUAAACUCAUCCGCCUACAAAACGGCCCGAGCGUGCCUGUCGAAAUAUACGGUACUGAGUUGGGCAGUUUCGUUUGUUGAAAAGACAAGGAUGAGUGCAGAACUCAAAUGAUAAUGGAUCUAAAAAUAUCGAUAUUAUCGACAUUUUUAGUUCCACUUAGUAGAUGGCGCAGGACCGUCGGAGUUCGGCCGUCACUCCAGCAUCGCCUUAAAUGCUAUACUAGCACAAAUAUCUGUAUAUAAUAGAUCAUAUCUAAAUAUCUUUAUUUGAGUACUUUAAACAUUAUAUUGAUUGGAAAAAAAAAUGUACUUAUGAGAUCGAACGAGUUAUGUGCAAGACCAUUGAUAAAUGUAUACAGCAAUAUUUUAUUUCUUGUAAUUAAAAAGACACAUUGAAUAAAAUAAAUGCAGCAUUAUGUUUCUUAUUUAUAUUUUAGUGAUGAUAAUAAAAUGGUAUUUUGCAGAUUAUAAGUUAUUUUUUGAAAAUCAAGUGUAGAGUCCCUAAAAUUGAACUCUGAAUAAAAGUAAAUACAGUGCUUUGACAGUACAAUAUAUAAAAUAUUAUACUAGCAUAAGUACCUGCAUCUAAUAGUUUAUAUUGGUCUAAAUAUCUUUAUUUGAGUAUUUUAAACAUUAUGUCGAUUUGAAAAAAAAUCUGAAAAAUACUUAUUCAGAUUUCUUUUAAAUUAUUUUCUCAGUAUUUCUAAAAAGAAUUUUAUUCGUAUAAAGCAUUUUCUAAAAAAAUUAUAAAAAUUGUAUAAAAGUUUUAUAUAGAAAUUAUAAAAAAGUAUAUGAAGAAUAUUGACACAAAGUUUUAUUUGUAAAAUUGUAAAUAAACUUUGUUUAGUUUCCUAAUUCUGAAGAUAAACCUUCUGAUAAGAUGUAAUUUAUACAAAUCAAAAUUAUUAUUUUUAGCUAAUUACUGAUUUAAUUAGAAUUACUACUUACAAUUAGUCUAACUAAAUUCCUCAAAAUCACUUUCAAGUCUGAAAGUCUGUGCAGUCCAUUUCUAACGCUGAAAAGUAUCUCAAAGUAUUAUGUAUUAAAAUAUACAGUAUGCGUCUAAAUAAAAAAACGACAUACAUGCGCGGUUAGCAAAUCAUAAAUUCUUUUAAUAUCAAACAUUUUCACAAUUAACGAAAAAACUACAACGGUCGGUACAAGUAUUUUUAAAGGACGGAUACUUUCACUAUGCAACAGAUAAAGAUAUGAUAAACCCAAUAAACAAAAUAGCUGUUGAAGCAAUGUCGCAUUUUUAUGACGCAUAUUGUAACAUUAUUCAACUAAACAAAUCACUUUUUCUCACCAGUGCCAUAAUAUAUAUCUCAAAGAUUUUUUUGUGCUAAAUACAAUGCCGUUGUCAGACUUUGGGUCAUUUUUUAUAUUAAUUUACUUAAAAUCUCGAUAUGCUACACACAAAUAGAUAAAAAUUGUUGAUAUUUUUGUUGAUUUUGAAUAUUGUUCGUCAAAUCUAUAAUAUAGAUUGUACAGAAAAUCUAAAAGCAUGAGAAAUUUUUUGGAGUAUGUACUGCGGUACUUGGAAGAGAUUGUAGAUGUUGAAAAUGUAAAUGUUACAAAUGUAGACUUGUAUAUUUAUUACAUUAUGUAUCUUCUAAAUGAUUGCAGCUUCCGUUUAAACGCAGGUUUAUAUAUACGAGCUGAAUAUUAUACGGACUACGCUUGACACUAUUUCGAUUUUAUUUAUACUUUUUAAAUUAUUAGCUCAUUACAAAACAAUUUGGAUACAUCUUUAAGUACGUCAAGAUAAAGAUUUGCGUUCACAGGUUACGUAUGAAGAAAGAAUGUAAUGCGAAUGGAAUUGUAUGUAGAAGAUGAUGUAGCGGAAAAAGUCAAUCUAUAUAUUUAUUUUUAUAAAUAAAAAUACACAUGUGUACAAAAA